rnacentral:lncRNA from 1 species
UCUGCUAAGUUUAAUCUCUAAAAAAAUAAAAAGACCAAAAAGAUGCAUGAUGGAAAUGAUGAAUAGUUGCUCUGUUUGCUUACUUACAAGUACCUAGCUUUUAUAUUAGAAUUCUUCCGGAAAUUACUAAAAGUGAAAUUACUAUCUUUGGAAAGCAUAAAACUAAAGUCUAGGUAAGAGAAAGGCAUGAUAUAAAGUUGAGCUGCUGUUUAUCUUGUUCCUACUACACUAAGUUCUGGAGAUUUAUUUUGAAAACUUACAAAUCACAUGAUGAGUUCCUAGCAUAACAAACUACCUACCACAGCCAUACUUGCUAUAACAUCUUUUACUAUAUUUACAUUGAGUUUGAUCGAGCUGUGUUGACCCUUAGGAGCUUUUCAUGUGGUUAAAUUAAGAUAUUCACUUGCACACAUCUACCACAGCAUUCAUCACUAAUCAUUAAAAUUGCUAAAAAUAUUAUCACUCACUGUCCCGAAUAUUGUUAUUCUCUCUCUCUAAAAAGAUUCAAUGCAGAAGAGGCAUGGGUUAUGCAAAAAUAUAUACGAGGAAAUAAAAAGGGGCAAGUGCCCGGGAAUCUCAAAAAAGAAAGAAAAAGAGUGAGACGAGAGGUAAAAAUGGACAAGUGUCCGAAGUAGAAUUAGGGGUACAAAGAUGCCCACUUGAGAGGUAAAAAUGGACAAGUGUCCGACAGUAGAAUUAGGGGUAUCUAUUACCCAUCUGAAAAAAAAGAGAGAAAAGAUAGCCCAUGUUCUCCCAAGGCAAAGAUAAAAGAAGAGGAGAGAUAGCAAUAUGAGGAGCAAUGAGAACUAAGAUUUAUUAACACUAUCGCAUAUUCACCAUCACUAUCAUUUACUCCACCACACAUGCACAUCUUGAUUUAAUUAUAUGCUGAGUUCCUUUGGAUCCAUGGCUCGAUUAGACAACAUAUGUAUGAGCUGUUUUCCACUCCUAUGAGCUCCACUUAAAUAUUCCAUUAGCUAUAGGUAAGUGACAUUAUGGUAAGGAUCCACAAAUACCACAUAUAGAGAGACC